rnacentral:rRNA from 1 species
GACGAACGCUGGCGGCGUGCUUAACACAUGCGAGUCGAACGGAAAGGCCCUGCUUUUGUGGGGUGCUCGAGUGGCGAACGGGUGAGUAACACGUGAGUAACCUGCCCUUGACUUUGGGAUAACUUCAGGAAACUGGGGCUAAUACCGGAUAGGAGCUCCUGCUGCAUGGUGGGGGUUGGAAAGUUUCGGCGGUUGGGGAUGGACUCGGGGCUUAUCAGCUUGUUGGUGGGGUAGUGGCUUACCAAGGCUUUGACGGGUAGCCGGCCUGAGAGGGUGACCGGCCACAUUGGGACUGAGAUACGGCCCAGACUCCUACGGGAGGCAGCAGUGGGGAAUAUUGCACAAUGGGCGGAAGCCUGAUGCAGCAACGCCGCGUGCGGGAUGACGGCCUUCGGGUUGUAAACCGCUUUCGCCUGUGACGAAGCGUGAGUGACGGUAAUGGGUAAAGAAGCACCGGCUAACUACGUG